GAACUAUUUGAAAAUCAGUAAAUUCGUUUAUUUAACAAAGCAAUUAUGUCCAAAUUUUUUGUCGUUUGUUUUCUACUGGCAUGUCUCGUCUGCAGCGGGAGUUGCAACUCUUUUCCGGUCCAGAGCCGUAAUAAUGGCGGCGGUCGCGACUCGACAACAGUUAGUGUGAAUCCUACAAAUAUUGCUAAUUCAAGAAGCGAUUCCUCUCCGAAUACUGUUCAGGAAGUGAGAGGAAGACCUAAUCGCUUUUCUCGAGGAUUUCCGUUCUUUUCCCAGAAUGGAUUACAAGUAUUUUAAUAAUUGAUACUUUGAAACUGUUCGUAGUUCGCUGAUGGUUAAAUAUUAUUAUUAA